ACGAACGCUGGCGGCGUGCUUAACACAUGCACGUCGAACGGAAAGGCCCUGCUUUUGUGGGGUGCUCGAGUGGCGAACGGGUGAGUAACACGUGAGUAACCUGCCCUUGACUUUGGGAUAACUUCAGGAAACUGGGGCUAAUACCGGAUAGGAGCUCCUGCUGCAUGGUGGGGGUUGGAAAGUUUCGGCGGUUGGGGAUGGACUCGCGGCUUAUCAGCUUGUUGGUGGGGUAGUGGCUUACCAAGGCUUUGACGGGUAGCCGGCCUGAGAGGGUGACCGGCCACAUUGGGACUGAGAUACGGCCCAGACUCCUACGGGAGGCAGCAGUGGGGAAUAUUGCACAAUGGGCGGAAGCCUGAUGCAGCAACGCCGCGUGCGGGAUGACGGCCUUCGGGUUGUAAACCGCUUUCGCCUGUGACGAAGCGCGAGUGACGGUAAUGGGUAAAGAAGCACCGGCUAACUACGUG
rnacentral:rRNA from 1 species